UAUUUGAAAUUUGACCUGCCCAAUGAUUAUUUUUAAUGGCCGCGGUAUAUUGACCGUGCAAAGGUAGCAUAAUCAUUAGUCUAUUAAUUGUGGACUUGUAUGAAUGGUUGGACGAAAUAUUUACUGUCUCAUAUUGAAUAUUAUUGAAUUUAAUUUUUUGGUUAGAAAGCUUAAAUUUUUUUGGAGGACGAGAAGACCCUAUAGAUCUUUAUUAUUUAUAUUUUUAUUUAAUUUAGUUUAUUUUGAAUUAAUUUAUUAAAUUUUUUGGUUGGGGUGACAGGGAGAUUAUAUUAACUCUUUUAUUUUAUUUACAAUAAUUUUUGAUUUUUUUUUUUGACCUUAUAUUAAUGUUUAUUAGAUUAGAUACCUUAGGGAUAACAGCGUAAUUCUUUUUGAGAGUUCAUAUCGACAAAUGAGAUUGCGACCUCGAUGUUGGAUUAAGAAUAUAUGUAGGUGUAGGUGCUUAUAAUUUAGGUCUGUUCGACCUUUAAAUUCUUACGUGAUCUGA
rnacentral:rRNA from 1 species